rnacentral:rRNA from 1 species
UGGGGAAUUUUGCACAAUGGGGGAAACCCUGAUGCAGCGACGCCGCGUGAGCGAAGAAGGUUUUCGAAUCGUAAAGCUCUGUCCUAUGAGAAGAUAAUGACGGUAUCAUAGGAGGAAGCCCCGGCUAAAUACGUGCCAGCAGCCGCGGUAAUACGUAUGGGGCGAGCGUUGUCCGGAUUUAUUGGGCGUAAAGGGUACGUAGGCGGUCUAUUAAGUCAGGUGUGAAAGCGUGAGGCUUAACCUCAUUAAGCACUUGAAACUGAUAGACUUGAGUGAAGGAGAGGAAAGUGGAAUUCCUAGUGUAGCGGUGAAAUGCGUAGAUAUUAGGAGGAAUACCGGUGGCGAAGGCGACUUUCUGGACUUUUACUGACGCUCAGGUACGAAAGCGUGGGGAGCAAACAGG